AAAAAGUUAACCCUGAAAGAUAUUUAUGAAAAAUUAGAUAAAAUGGAAAAAAGAGUUAAAAAAUUAGAAAAACAUGUAUUUAAAAAGAAAAAACAAACAAUAAAUUUUGACUCUGAAGUAUCUAAAAAUAGAUUAGAUUCAGAUACAACAACAUAUAUAAGCUCAGAAGAAGAAAAAGAUGAUAAGAAAAUAGUAGUAGAAGUAAUAGAUAAAAUAGAAAAUAAUUCAGAUAUUAAUAUGGACGAAGAUAGCAAUUCAGAUACCUAUACUGACUGAUAAAGAA
rnacentral:lncRNA from 1 species